rnacentral:rRNA from 1 species
GACGAACGCUGGCGGCGUGCUUAACACAUGCAAGUCGAACGGAGUGGCGAACGGGUGAGUAACAAGUGGGUGACCUGCCCUGCACUUCGGGAUAAACCUGGGAAACUGGGUCUAAUAACGGAUAGUGUGGGAUGGGCCCGGGGCCUAUCAGCUUGUUGGUGGGGUAAUGGCCUACCAAGGAGGCGACGGGUAGCCGGCCUGAGAGGGUGGACGGCCACAUUGGGACGUAGACACGGCCCAGACUCCUACGGGAGGCAGCAGGGGGGAAUAUUGCACAAUGGGCGGAAGCCGGAUGCAGCGACGCCGCGUGGGGGAUGACGGCCUUCGGGUUGUAAACUCCUGUCACCAUCGACGCGGUAGAUGGAGAAGAAGCACCGGCUAACUACGUGCCAGCAGCCGCGGUAAUUC